rnacentral:rRNA from 1 species
UACGUAGGGUGCUAACGUUGUUCGGAAUCACUGGGCAUAAAGAGCGCGUAGGCGGUCUGAUAAGUCAGGUGUGAAAUCCCCCGGCUCAACCGGGGAACUGCACCUGAUACUGUUGGGCUUGAGUGCAGGAGGGGAGAGCGGAAUUCCUGGUGGAGCGGUGAAAUGCGUAGAUAUCAGGAGGAACGCCGGCGGCGAAGGCGGUCUGCUGGGCAGUAGCUGACACUGAGGCGCGACAGCGUGGGGAGCAAACAGG